AUGAAUCUUCAUUCAGUGAUUCUGUUCUGUGCAUUUGCUGCUGCUGUCUUUGGAAAUGUCAUCACACCAAACAAAACAGAACAUUUUGCAGAGGAGGGUUCAAAUAUUAUAUUGUCCUGUAGUUAUUCAUCUACAGCUGGAGAUAAUCUGUUCUGGUACCGUCAGUAUGGCAGAUCACAAUCUGAAUUUCUUGUAAUGACCUUCAAUGGUGCAAAAGAAGCUCAGCAGUCUGAUGUAGAUCCAAGACUCUCAGUUACAGUUACACAAAGCGAACAAAACCAUGUGGAUCUAAAGAUCUCCUCAACUAAAGUGACAGACUCUGCUCUGUACUACUGUGCUCUGAGGUCCACAGUGAGAGGAAACCCAUCAGCUCUCUACAAAAACUCAUAA